UGAGUUGUAUCUCAGUGGUAAAGCACUUGCCUGGCAUGUGUGAUACCCUGGGUCUGAUCCCCAGCAACAUAC
rnacentral:tRNA from 1 species